rnacentral:rRNA from 1 species
AGCUCCAAUAGCGUAUAUUAAAGUUGUUGCAGUUAAAAAGCUCGUAGUUGGAUUUGGGACGGGGGUCGCGCGGUCGGCCGCAAGGUCUGCUACUGUGCGGCCUCGUCAUUUACACUCUCGGAGACCCGUCGUGCACUUUGCUGUGCGCGGCGCGGGACUCGGGACGUUUACUUUGAAAAAAUUAGAGUGUUCAAAGCAGGCUUCAUCAAGCCCGGAUACAUGAGCAUGGAAUAAUGGAAUAGGACCGCGGUUCUAUUUUGUUGGUUUCUACGACCGCAGUAAUGAUUAAGAGGGACAAUUGGGGGCGUCCGUAUUUCGUUGUCAGAGGUGAAAUUCUUGGAUUUACGAAAGACGAACAACUGCGAAAGCAUUCGCCAAGAGUGUUUUCAUUAAUCAAGAA